rnacentral:lncRNA from 1 species
ACCCCAAGAUAAUGCGAAAGUGAAAGGAAAAAUGUUUCGAUUCAAAACUUCAUGAUUUCUUUAUAACAUAUAACUCUAGUCACCAUUUACCACAGUUUCUCCUCACUCCUCAGCAAUCGCAUCAAUUAAAAUUAUUAUGCUGAUUCAUUUCAUCAAUGUCUUUAUAGUCCACCACCAACAAGAAUCACUUUGUAUUCUCCUCAAAUGAGCAGACACUAAAGCCUGGGUCUUG